rnacentral:rRNA from 1 species
UACAGAGGGGGCAAGCGUUAUUCGGAAUUAUUGGGCGUAAAGGGCGCGUAGGCGGCUUUGCAAGUGACGGGUGAAAGCCCUCGGCUUAACCGAGGAACUGCCUGUCAGACUGUGAGGCUUGAGACCGAGAGAGGUGAGUGGAAUUCCCAGUGUAGCGGUGAAAUGCGUAGAUAUUGGGAGGAACACCAGUGGCGAAGGCGGCUCACUGGACCGGAACUGACGCUGAGGCGCGGAAAAGCGUGGGGGAGCGAACAGG